rnacentral:rRNA from 1 species
GAUGAACGCUGGCGGCGUGCCUAAUACAUGCAAGUCGAGCGAACGGACGAGAAGCUUGCUUCUCUGAUGUUAGCGGCGGACGGGUGAGUAACACGUGGAUAACCUACCUAUAAGACUGGGAUAACUUCGGGAAACCGGAGCUAAUACCGGAUGAUAUUUUGAACCGCAUGGUUCAAAAGUGAAAGACGGUCUUGCUGUCACUUAUAGAUGGAUCCGCGCUGCAUUAGCUAGUUGGUAAGGUAACGGCUUACCAAGGCAACGAUGCAUAGCCGACCUGAGAGGGUGAUCGGCCACCCUGGAGCUGAGACACGGUCCAGACUCCUACGGGAGGCAGCAGUAGGGAAUCUUCCGCAAUGGGCGAAAGCCUGACGGAGCAACGCCGCGUGAGUGAUGAAGGUCUUCGGAUCGUAAAACUCUGUUAUUAGGGAAGAACAUAUGUGUAAGUAACUGUGCACAUCGUGACGGUACCUAAUCAGAAAGCCACGGCUAACUACGUG